rnacentral:rRNA from 1 species
UACGAAGGGGGCUAGCGUUGCUCGGAAUCACUGGGCGUAAAGCGCACGUAGGCGGCUUUUUAAGUCAGGGGUGAAAUCCUGGAGCUCAACUCCAGAACUGCCUUUGAUACUGAGAAGCUUGAGUCCGGGAGAGGUGAGUGGAACUGCGAGUGUAAGAGGUGAAAUUCGUAGAGUAUUCGCAAGAACACCAGUGGCGAAGGCGGCUCACUGGCCCGGUACUGACGCUGAGGUGCGAAAGCGUGGGGAGCAAACAGG